rnacentral:rRNA from 1 species
CACGUAGGGGGCAAGCGUUGUCCGGAUUUAUUGGGCGUAAAGAGCUCGUAGGUGGUUCGGUAAGUCGGGUGUGAAACCUCCAGGCUCAACCUGGAGACGCCACCCGAUACUGCUGUGACUGGAGUCCGGUAGGGGAGCGUGGAAUUCCUGGUGUAGCGGUGAAAUGCGCAGAUAUCAGGAGGAACACCGGUGGCGAAGGCGAGUCUCUGGACGACUCCUGACACUGAGGCACGAAAGCUGGGGGAGCAAACAGG